GGGGAAUAUUGGACAAUGGGCGAAAGCCUGAUCCAGCCAUGCCGCGUGUGUGAAGAAGGUCUUCGGAUUGUAAAGCACUUUAAGUUGGGAGGAAGGGUUGUAGAUUAAUACUCUGCAAUUUUGACGUUACCGACAGAAUAAGCACCGGCUAACUCUGUGCCAGCAGCCGCGGUAAUACAGAGGGUGCAAGCGUUAAUCGGAAUUACUGGGCGUAAAGCGCGCGUAGGUGGUUUGUUAAGUUGGAUGUGAAAUCCCCGGGCUCAACCUGGGAACUGCAUCCAAAACUGGCAAGCUAGAGUAGGGCAGAGGGUGGUGGAAUUUCCUGUGUAGCGGUGAAAUGCGUAGAUAUAGGAAGGAACACCAGUGGCGAAGGCAGCCAUCUGGCCUAAUACUGACGCUGAGGUACGAAAGCAUGGGGAGCAAACA
rnacentral:rRNA from 1 species